CACGUAGGGGACGAGCGUUGUCCGGAUUCAUUGGGCGUAAAGCGCGCGUAGGCGGCUCGGAAAGUCGGUCGUGAAAUGCCGGGGCUCAACCCCGGGACUGCGUCCGAUACUUCCGGGCUGGAGGUAGGUAGGGGAGAUCGGAAUUCCUGGUGUAGCGGUGAAAUGCGCAGAUAUCAGGAGGAACACCGGUGGCGAAGGCGGAUCCCUGGGCCUUACCUGACGCUGAGGCGCGAAAGCUAGGGGAGCGAACAGG
rnacentral:rRNA from 1 species